rnacentral:rRNA from 1 species
CCUACGGGGGGCAGCAGUGGGGAAUAUUGCACAAUGGGGGAAACCCUGAUGCAGCGACGCCGCGUGAGUGAAGAAGUAUUUCGGUACGUAAAGCUCUAUCAGCAGGGAAGAAAAUGACGGUACCUGACUAAGAAGCCCCGGCUAACUACGUGCCAGCAGCCGCGGUAAUACGUAGGGGGCAAGCGUUAUCCGGAUUUACUGGGUGUAAAGGGAGAGUAGACGGCAGCGCAAGUCUGGAGUGAAAUCCCAUGGCUUAACCAUGGAACUGCUUUGGAAACUGUGCAGCUAGAGUGCAGGAGAGGUAAGCGGAAUUCCUAGUGUAGCGGUGAAAUGCGUAGAUAUUAGGAGGAACACCAGUGGCGAAGGCGGCUUACUGGACUGUAACUGACGUUGAGGCUCGAAAGCGUGGGGAGCAAACAGGAUUAGAUACCCUAGUAGUC